rnacentral:lncRNA from 1 species
UGUGUGUGUGUGUAUAUAUAUAGAUUAUAUUGUUGUUAAAGUGAAACGAAUUUGAUUUUGACAUUUGUGUGAAUGAAGAAGGUAGUGUACAUAUUAUAUAUAUAUUAUAUAUAUUUGUUUGUCUACAAGUUUAUAAAAAAAUUAUAGAAAAUUAUCAUGAAAGUAAUUUAUUUUUUCUUGAAAAGAUAAUUAAUGAUGCAA